rnacentral:rRNA from 1 species
ACGGAAGGCAGCAGUGGGGAAUAUUGCACAAUGGGGGAAACCCUGAUGCAGCGACGCCGCGUGAGUGAAGAAGUAUUUCGGUAUGUAAAGCUCUAUCAGCAGGGAAGAAAAUGACGGUACCUGACUAAGAAGCACCGGCUAAAUACGUGCCAGCAGCCGCGGUAAUACGUAUGGUGCAAGCGUUAUCCGGAUUUACUGGGUGUAAAGGGAGCGUAGACGGCGAGGCAAGUCUGAAGUGAAAUGCGGGGGCUCAACCCCUGAACUGCUUUGGAAACUGUUUUGCUAGAGUGCAGGAGAGGUAAGUGGAAUUCCUAGUGUAGCGGUGAAAUGCGUAGAUAUUAGGAGGAACACCGGCGGCGAAGGCGGCUUACUGGACUGUAACUGACGUUGAGGCUCGAAAGCGUGGGGAGCAAACAGGAUUAGAUACCCUGGUA